rnacentral:rRNA from 1 species
GAACGCGAAGAACCUUACCAGGGCUUGACAUGUACUCGCAACCUCCUGAAAGGGAGGCCUCCUUCGGGACGGGUACACAGAUGCUGCAUGGCUGUCGUCAGCUCGUGUCGUGAGAUGUUGGGUUAAGUCCCGCAACGAGCGCAACCCUCGCCUUUAGUUGCCAGCAUUCAGUUGGGCACUCUAGAGGAACCGCCGGUGAUAAGCCGGAGGAAGGUGGGGAUGACGUCAAGUCCUCAUGGCCCUUGCGGGAUGGGCUACACACGUGCUACAAUGGUGGUGACAGAGGGUAAUCCCUAAAAGCCAUCUCAGUUCGGAUUGGGGUCUGCAACUCGACCCCAUGAAGUUGGAAUCGCUAGUAAUCGCGUAACAGCACGACGCGGUGAAUACGUUCCCGGGUCUUGUACACACGC